GGGUUGUGAGGUUAAGCGACUAAGCGUACACGGUGGAUGCCCUGGCAGUCAGAGGCGAUGAAGGGCGUGCUAAUCUGCGAUAAGCGCCGGUAAGGUGAUAUGAACCGUUAUAACCGGCGAUACCCGAAUGGGGAAACCCAGUGUGAUUCGUCACACUAUCAUUAACUGAAUCCAUAGGUUAAUGAGGCGAACCGGGGGAACUGAAACAUCUAAGUACCCCGAGGAAAAGAAAUCAACCGAGAUUCCCCCAGUAGCGGCGAGCGAACGGGGAGGAGCCCAGAGCCUGAAUCAGCAUGUGUGUUAGUGGAAGCGUCUGGAAAGGCGCGCGAUACAGGGUGACAGCCCCGUACACAAAAGCGCAUGUGCUGUGAGCUCGAUGAGUAGGGCGGGACACGUGGUAUCCUGUCUGAAUAUGGGGGGACCAUCCUCCAAGGCUAAAUACUCCUGACUGACCGAUAGUGAACCAGUACCGUGAGGGAAAGGCGAAAAGAACCCCGGCGAGGGGAGUGAAAAAGAACCUGAAACCGUGUACGUACAAGCAGUGGGAGCNNNNNNNNNNNNNNNNNNGGGCGUUAAGUUGCAGGGUAUAGACCCGAAACCCGGUGAUCUAGCCAUGGGCAGGUUGAAGGUUGGGUAACACUAACUGGAGGACCGAACCGACUAAUGUUGAAAAAUUAGCGGAUGACCUGUGGCUGGGGGUGAAAGGCCAAUCAAACCGGGAGAUAGCUGGUUCUCCCCGAAAGCUAUUUAGGUAGCGCCUCGUGAAUUCAUCUCCGGGGGUAGAGCACUGUUUCGGCUAGGGGGCCAUCCCGGCUUACCAACCCGAUGCAAACUGCGAAUACCGGAGAAUGUUAUCACGGGAGACACACGGCGGGUGCUAACGUCCGUCGUGAAGAGGGAAACAACCCAGACCGCCAGCUAAGGUCCCAAAGUCAUGGUUAAGUGGGAAACGAUGUGGGAAGGCCCAGACAGCCAGGAUGUUGGCUUAGAAGCAGCCAUCAUUUAAAGAAAGCGUAAUAGCUCACUGGUCGAGUCGGCCUGCGCGGAAGAUGUAACGGGGCUAAACCAUGCACCGAAGCUGCGGCAGCGACACUGUGUGUUGUUGGGUAGGGGAGCGUUCUGUAAGCCUGCGAAGGUGGCCUGUGAGGGUUGCUGGAGGUAUCAGAAGUGCGAAUGCUGACAUAAGUAACGAUAAAGCGGGUGAAAAGCCCGCUCGCCGGAAGACCAAGGGUUCCUGUCCAACGUUAAUCGGGGCAGGGUGAGUCGACCCCUAAGGCGAGGCCGAAAGGCGUAGUCGAUGGGAAACGGGUUAAUAUUCCCGUACUUGGUGUUACUGCGAAGGGGGGACGGAGAAGGCUAUGUUGGCCGGGCGACGGUUGUCCCGGUUUAAGCGUGUAGGUGUGUGUUCCAGGUAAAUCCGGUUCACUUUAACACUGAGGCGUGACGACGAGGCACUACGGUGCUGAAGCAACAAAUGCCCUGCUUCCAGGAAAAGCCUCUAAGCAUCAGGUAACAUCAAAUCGUACCCCAAACCGACACAGGUGGUCAGGUAGAGAAUACCAAGGCGCUUGAGAGAACUCGGGUGAAGGAACUAGGCAAAAUGGUGCCGUAACUUCGGGAGAAGGCACGCUGACACGUAGGUGAAGUGAUUUACUCAUGGAGCUGAAGUCAGUCGAAGAUACCAGCUGGCUGCAACUGUUUAUUAAAAACACAGCACUGUGCAAACACGAAAGUGGACGUAUACGGUGUGACGCCUGCCCGGUGCCGGAAGGUUAAUUGAUGGGGUCAGCGCAAGCGAAGCUCCUGAUCGAAGCCCCGGUAAACGGCGGCCGUAACUAUAACGGUCCUAAGGUAGCGAAAUUCCUUGUCGGGUAAGUUCCGACCUGCACGAAUGGCGUAAUGAUGGCCAGGCUGUCUCCACCCGAGACUCAGUGAAAUUGAACUCGCUGUGAAGAUGCAGUGUACCCGCGGCAAGACGGAAAGACCCCGUGAACCUUUACUAUAGCUUGACACUGAACAUUGAGCCUUGAUGUGUAGGAUAGGUGGGAGGCUUUGAAGUGUGGACGCCAGUCUGCAUGGAGCCGACCUUGAAAUACCACCCUUUAAUGUUUGAUGUUCUAACGUGGACCCGUUACCCGGGUUGCGGACAGUGUCUGGUGGGUAGUUUGACUGGGGCGGUCUCCUCCUAAAGAGUAACGGAGGAGCACGAAGGUUGGCUAAUCCUGGUCGGACAUCAGGAGGUUAGUGCAAUGGCAUAAGCCAGCUUGACUGCGAGCGUGACGGCGCGAGCAGGUGCGAAAGCAGGUCAUAGUGAUCCGGUGGUUCUGAAUGGAAGGGCCAUCGCUCAACGGAUAAAAGGUACUCCGGGGAUAACAGGCUGAUACCGCCCAAGAGUUCAUAUCGACGGCGGUGUUUGGCACCUCGAUGUCGGCUCAUCACAUCCUGGGGCUGAAGUAGGUCCCAAGGGUAUGGCUGUUCGCCAUUUAAAGUGGUACGCGAGCUGGGUUUAGAACGUCGUGAGACAGUUCGGUCCCUAUCUGCCGUGGGCGCUGGAGAACUGAGGGGGGCUGCUCCUAGUACGAGAGGACCGGAGUGGACGCAUCACUGGUGUUCGGGUUGUCAUGCCAAUGGCACUGCCCGGUAGCUAAAUGCGGAAGAGAUAAGUGCUGAAAGCAUCUAAGCACGAAACUUGCCCCGAGAUGAGUUCUCCCUGAGACUUAGAGUCUCCUGAAGGAACGUUGAAGACGACGACGUUGAUAGGCCGGGUGUGUAAGCGCAGCGAUGCGUUGAGCUAACCGGUACUAAUGAACCGUGAGGCUUAACCUUACAACGCCGAAG
rnacentral:rRNA from 1 species